rnacentral:rRNA from 1 species
GUAGGGUGCGAGCGUUAAUCGGAAUUACUGGGCGUAAAGCGUGCGCAGGCGGUUCGUUGUGUCGGCGGUGAAAGCCCCGGGCUCAACCUGGGAAUGGCCGUUGAAACUGGCGAACUGGAGUGUGGCAGAGGGGGGUGGAAUUCCGCGUGUAGCAGUGAAAUGCGUAGAGAUGCGGAGGAACACCGAUGGCGAAGGCAGCCCCCUGGGCUGACACUGACGCUCAGGCACGAAAGCGUGGGGAGCAAACAGGAUUAGAUACCCUGGUAGUCCACGCCCUAAACGAUGUCGACUGGGUGUUGGGGAAGCGAUUUCCCAGUACCGUAGCUAACGCGUGAAGUCGACCGCCUGGGGAGUACGGUCGCAAGAGUA